UACGUAGGGGGCGAGCGUUGUCCGGAUUUAUUGGGCGUAAAGAGCGUGUAGGCGGUUCGGUAAGUCUGUCGUGAAAUCCUGAGGCUCAACCUCGGGCGUGCGAUGGAUACUGCCGGGCUAGAGGAUGGUAGAGGCGAGUGGAAUUCCCGGUGUAGCGGUGAAAUGCGCAGAUAUCAGGAAGAACACCCGUGGCGAAGGCGGCUCUCUGGGACGGUACUGACGCUGAGACGCGAAAGCGUGGGAGCGAACAGG
rnacentral:rRNA from 1 species